rnacentral:rRNA from 1 species
GUAGGUGGCAAGCGUUGUCCGGAAUUAUUGGGCGUAAAGCGCGCGCAGGUGGUUCUUUAAGUCUGAUGUGAAAGCCCCCCGGCUCAACCGGGGGAGGGUUCAUUUGGGAAACUGGGGAACGUUAGAGUGCAGGAGAGGAAAGUGGAAUUCCACGUGUAGCGGUGAAAUGCGUAGAUAUGUGGAGGAACACCAGUGGCGAAGGCGACUUUCUUGGCCUGUAACUGACACUGAGGCGCGAAAGCGUGGGGAGCAAACAGGGAUUAGAUACCCUGGUAGUCCACGCCGUAAACGAUGAGUGCUAAGUGUUGGGGGGUUUCCCGGCCCCUCAGUGCUGCAGCUAACGCAUUAAGCACUCCGCCUGGGGAGUACGUCGCAAGACUG